CCUACGGGUGGCAGCAGUGAGGAAUAUUGGUCAAUGGGCGAGAGCCUGAACCAGCCAAGUCGCGUGAAGGAUGAAGGAUCUAUGGGUUGUAAACUUCUUUUAUAUGGGAAUAAAAUGUUCCACGUGUGGGAUUUUGUAUGUACCAUAUGAAUAAGGAUCGGCUAACUCCGUGCCAGCAGCCGCGGUAAUACGGAGGAUCCGAGCGUUAUCCGGAUUUAUUGGGUUUAAAGGGAGCGUAGGUGGAUUGUUAAGUCAGUUGUGAAAGUUUGCGGCUCAACCGUAAAAUUGCAGUUGAAACUGGCAGUCUUGAGUACAGUAGAGGUGGGCGGAAUUCGUGGUGUAGCGGUGAAAUGCUUAGAUAUCACGAAGAACUCCGAUUGCGAAGGCAGCUCACUGGACUGCAACUGACACUGAGGCUCGAAAGUGUGGGUAUCAAACAGGAUUAGAUACCCCGGUAGUC
rnacentral:rRNA from 1 species